rnacentral:tRNA from 1 species
GGUAGUGUAGCUCAGGCGGUAGAGCGACGGACUCAUAAUCCGUAGGUCGGUGGAUCGUACCCACCCACUACCACCA